rnacentral:rRNA from 1 species
UACGUAGGAAGCGAGCGUUGUCCGGAAUCACUGGGCGUAAAGCGCGUGUAGGCGGUACGGCAAGUCUGCUGUGAAAGCGCCCGGCUUAACCGGGCGAGGUCGGCGGAAACUGCUGAACUGGAGGACGGUAGAGGGGGGUGGAAUUCCCGGUGUAGUGGUGAAAUGCGUAGAGAUCGGGAGGAACACCUGUGGCGAAGGCGGCCCCCUGGGCCGGGCCUGACGCUGAGACGCGAAGGCGCGGGGAGCGAACGGG